AUUGAACGCUGGCGGCAGGCCUAACACAUGCAAGUCGAGCGGAGCGGCGGACGGGUGAGUAAUGCCAGGGAAUCUGCCUGGUAGAGGGGGAUAACGUCCGGAAACGGGCGCUAAUACCGCAUACUAACAGAUGAGCCUAGGACGGAUUCGCUAGUUGGUGGGGUAAAGGCCUAACAAGGCGACGAUCCGUAACUGGGCUGCGAGGAUGAUCAGUCACUCGGGAAGGGAGACACAGUCCAGCCUCCUACGUGAGGCAGCACGGGGGAAUAUUGGACAAUGGGCGAAAGCCUGAUCCAGCCAUGCCGCGUGUGGGAAGAAGGUCUUCGGAUUGUAAAGCACUUUAAGUUGGAAGGCGUUACCAACAGAAUAAGCACCGGCUAACUUCGUGCCAGCAGCCGCGGUAAUUC
rnacentral:rRNA from 1 species